CCAGGCAUGUAGUAUGAUCAGAAUUUGCCAAUGAAAUGUCCAGAGCCAGUAUGGUGGCAAAAAGGCCUUGGCACUAGGUUAAAAUUGAUGCCCAACUAUAACAUGAGUCGCAAAUCAGAAUGUGCAUAACAUAAUGAACAUCUUAUGCCACUUGCAGCUUCAUUCUAUCUGCUUCAUCAGCAUCAGCGAGCUAAAAAUUUAAAAUAUUACUGGGGUAACACUUUACAUGAACUUAUUACAAAACAUGAUACUAGCAUAUAUCACAUAAGCAAAAACAAAACAUAGAUUUUUCAUAAUAUAUCAUUGUUUAAUUGGAGAUUAGUUUUGUUUAAAUCAUGCAUUUAGAAGAAUCAUAUUGGACAUGAUCCAGUCUGGAUGCCAAGACAGCAGGUCACCUUACUUUAAUUCAGGAAGUCGACUUUUUUUUCUCUCAGAGUAUGUGGGAGAGGAGAACUACCAAGUUUGAAGCAUUUCAACAAACUCUUCAUGUAGAACGUGCAAGGUAGUACAAUAAAAUAUCCUUUGUGGUUCAUCAGCUUCAUCUGAAAUGCCACAUGAUGACUGUGGCAGAGUGACAGCCUUCAACUAUAAUUAAAUUGACACCCACAUGUUAAAUAUGUAGAGAAUACACUAAAGUUGCCUCUCAAGGUAUAGCAUUUGACUCGAACUCCAACAUAAUACAGGUUAAGUGAUAGGCAUAACAAGGAAAAGGAUUUCAUAAUUUAAAAGGUUGACAACAAAUCCUCAUAAUUAAGCCAGAUGAAUCACUUCAGUUUAGGUUCAAGGAACUUUGAUCAGGUUGCCGAAAUAGAAAAUCUAAACAAUGUAUAAUUAUGUUAACAAUACAUACUAACAUUCAAAAGCUAGUUUUGAUCAUGUUUAAAUCUAGUUCUAAUCAUACAGGAAAGAUAACAAACAUUACAAAUGGAAUUCUGGCAAAAAGAAUGUAGAACCAGAACAUGUGCAAAAACAGGUUUCUCUACUCAACAUGAUCAGGUUUCCAAAAUGCUCACAAUCGCAUAUUACUCAUCUGAAUUGUCUUCAAGAGUUUUGUUCAACAACUUGCAAUUGUAAAUAUGGUCUUUAACAUGGCAUGGAGCCACAAAUAAAAUAGUAGUAAAAACUAAAAACCAUACUGAAUGGUUUAAGAUAAAAGAUUUUAGUAGCAUAAAAGGAAUUAGCCUUCGUGGAAUGCUUGAUCUAAUGGUCUUUGACAACGAUACUACUAACAUACCAAGUCUGAACCACAUAAUGGAUUACUAUACUAGAAAAUAUAAGACACUCAAAGCAAUUAAGAUUGCGGAUGAGCAGAGCAUCCACUGUAAAGUGGUGUUUAAUAAAUGAUUUUAAUUGCAUGGUUCUUGGCCCAUCAGAAGCAUUUUGGUUUCAGAAAUUUCAUUUAUUUGGCAAUUUUCACAUUUUUCAGUUAUUUAAAAUUACUUCAGCUUAUAUGGUUUCAGUUCAUCCUAAUUAAAAUCAAUGAUUUUUGCAAGCAAGCAAUAAAAACAUGAUGCCAGAUCUUUUUCCUUAGAUUAACAGGAAAAAAAAAUCAGAAUAAUCAGGAUUACUACAGCAUCUUCAUCGGUUCAUAUAUAGGUAUUGGUGGCUUUGGGCAAAAGAUGAACAAUUAUGAAAAUCGGAUGGAGUUUUUCAACUGUAACAGGAAAAUUGAGGUCAAUGUAUCAGCCUUAACCUGCCAAGCUGUUAUCAAACAUAACACCCUACUUCUGUGUGUACACUCCACUACAAUAAAUCAUCUAUCAAUCUGAUUAAACAUACCUCUUGCUCCAGCUUGAAGAGAUGGCGAUUGAAAUGCUGCUGCAAUCUUUCAUUAGCAUAAUUGAUGCAAAAUUGUUCAAAACUAUUCUUCUGCAAGAACAUAAUGUACUAUGAGUUCAGCUGAAUCAGUAAGCAGAAGCUGUACAACAAGUUAGAAGUUCAUUACAUCGAAGGAUUCAAAACCAUAAAUAUCAAGAAUACUGAUUGAUCUGCCAGUGCGACGCUUUCCUAUUCCAAGUGAUUUAUUGAUCUGUUCUACAAGCCAUUCAAACAGACUAGCAUAUAAUGAUUUUGCCAGUGCAUCUCUUGUAUCAAUUGCCUACAUAAUAGAAAGAGAAGCAAAUGAGUCACCCAUAGUUGAAAAUGUCACUUCAAAGAGAGGAGUACAACAAACCUGCGAAAGCGUAAGCUUCUGGACAAUGUUAUCAUUUCCAACCUUCAUCUUCCGUGUUGACAAGGCUAACUUGAGUUCAGAAAGUGUGCAUCCGAUGAGCUUAGCAACCGUUUGGGCACCUAAAUCAACAUUCAUUGUUAUCAAAAAAGAAAGAAAAAUGUCACACCAUAAGUAACAAAACUUAACAUUACACUUAUCAGAGGCUUCAACAGAUGGUGCGAGAAGAAAAAUUGAAGUUUCUGCAGAAGACUACUGAACCCAUUUAUUGCUAAAUAUUACUUAGAUUGAUACUUAUGUAGAUAAAUAACUAGAUAUUAAGAGUUGAAAAAGCUGCAGAAAAGAGAACAAAUUUAGGAAGAAGAAAGCAUAAAAUAGCAAUAAAUUCACAUUAUGCCUGAUUGCCUGUAUCUCAGAAAAUGUAAAUUUAUAUAAAAAGUUUCGUAAUAAAACAAUAACUCCUCAUAAAUGAUAUCUCAAAUUAAUUAGCAUGGUAAUAAGAUUGGAAGAAAAAAAGUAAAUAACGUCAGAGUUUUCCUUAAUUCUAAGAAGAGAAAUAGCAAUAGAAUAACAUUA
rnacentral:lncRNA from 1 species